ACGGCAUAACAUGUUCGGGAUCAAGAGGACACGUACAGUACUAGUCAUAUUCCAUGUAGUCAAACAAAGAUACAUAGGGGUGGCAGAGCAUCUUCGACAGUUUACUAUCUAGCUUUUUCAUCUUUAAUUUUUUAACAAAAUAAAAAAAACUCAAAUAGUUUAGCAUUUUGUGUCUCUAUCUUUUCCAACCUUGCAAAAAAUUAUCUCGAGCGCAUAUAUAUGCGCGCGGCUAGGAGCGCGUAUCCGGAGUUUUUCGGCCCAUCUAGUAAGCAAGAAGAAAGACAAGGUUCUAGGCAAAAAAACGCAAGAGAGAAAGAUUUGGUGGAAGAGUUUAAACGCGUACAAGAAUAAAUUCAGGUUCCUGAUACAAAACAUAAGACCGGUC
rnacentral:lncRNA from 1 species